GCAAGGCUUCGCGUCUGGAAAACUGAGGCGGGCUGGCACAGCUGGGCAGAACAUCUGAUAGAGGCGUGUCUCUUCCUUUGAUUUCCUUCAUUGGAUUACUAAGCCCAGGUGGGAGCUGCGCCCCUGGAGUGGACAUACAUACCUGCCACAGCUCUGGGAGCACUGCCUCCGCCCAGCGUCUUCAUCUUGGAACAGGGCUUGGACCUGUGGCAGGUCACCGGAGAACAGAGCAUUGUGCACGGCCGUGUCUCGGCAGCAGCGGCGUGGCCUGCCUCGCUCGCCCCUCACUUGUGAUCCAGCGAGAAGAGCAGCUGAGGCUAUAAAUAGGUCCUGCACUGGUCUAGUAAACACCGUUUGCCCUGAGUCAUGAUCCUGGUGCAGGAAAGCUGUUGGGCCAACCCCUGCCCCUGCUGACACCCUCCCAGUGGGGCAGCAGGCCCUCAGCUGAGGCCACCCAGGAUGGAACCCCGCGGUCAGCAUCACCCACUUCUCUGGGGAGAGCACCUUGGGCUGGCAAGCUCUAUGACAAAUUCCAGUAGAGAGCCUCCUGGAAUGUGCUCUUCAAAGC